CGGCGGACGGGUGAGUAACGCGUGGGUAACCUGCCUCAUACAGGGGGAUAACAGUUGGAAACGGCUGCUAAUACCGCAUAAGCUCAUAGUACCGCAUGGUACGGUGUGAAAAACUCCGGUGGUAUGAGAUGGACCCGCGUCUGAUUAGGUAGUUGGUGGGGUAACGGCCUACCAAGCCGACGAUCAGUAGCCGACCUGAGAGGGUGACCGGCCACAUUGGGACUGAGACACGGCCCAA
rnacentral:rRNA from 1 species